UACGAAGGGGGCUAGCGUUGCUCGGAAUCACUGGGCGUAAAGGGUGCGUAGGCGGGUCUUUAAGUCAGGGGUGAAAUCCUGGAGCUCAACUCCAGAACUGCCUUUGAUACUGAGGAUCUUGAGUUCGGGAGAGGUGAGUGGAACUGCGAGUGUAGAGGUGAAAUGCGUAGAUAUCGUGAGGAAGACCAGUGGCGAAGGCGGGUCUCUGGACAGUUCCUGACACUGAGGCACGAAGGCCAGGGGAGCAAACGG
rnacentral:rRNA from 1 species